rnacentral:rRNA from 1 species
CCUACGGAGGCAGCAGUAGGGAAUCUUCCGCAAUGGACGAAAGUCUGACGGAGCAACGCCGCGUGAGUGAUGAAGGUUUUCGGAUCGUAAAGCUCUGUUGUUAGGGAAGAACAAGUGCGAGAGUAACUGCUCGCACCUUGACGGUACCUAACCAGAAAGCCACGGCUAACUACGUGCCAGCAGCCGCGGUAAUA